CCGGUACCUCAGAUGGAAAUGCAGAAAUCACCGUCUUCUGCGUCGCUCACGCUGGGAGCUGUAGACCGGAGCUCGAGAACUACUUUUUAAUGAGGGCUUGGGAUUAGCCAUUGCCAUAGAAUGGAGUGAAUAACAGAGAAGAGAAACUGUGACUAAUUUAAGAGUGAUAAUCAUACAAUUGCAAUUUGGAGAAGAUUGACCUGAAAGAACUGCAGAGGAAGCAUGCUCUUUGUGAAGAAGAAGGGAGCAGAGAUGAAGUCUUCCUCUCCUACUGCCUCUGGGCAGAGGUGAAGAACUUUUGAAGGCAUGCACCAUGGGGUUAUGAGACCCACUCAGCUAGACAUAUGUUUUGGAAGAUAUGUGU
rnacentral:lncRNA from 1 species